GUCUACUCUGGGAUUCUCUUCCUGGCUACUGCCACCUACUGGAUACUCAUCGCAUAGCUCCACACACAGCAAGAUUAAUGAGGAUUAUUAUUUCUGGAGAACAGACCAGGCAUGAGCAGCAGACUCCCUGUCUCUAGGCUCCCUUUUCAUACCACUCACCUCAUAAAUCAG